rnacentral:rRNA from 1 species
ACGCUCGACACCUACUGGAGGCAGCAGUCGGGAAUAUUGCGCAAUGGAGGAAACUCUGACGCAGUGACGCCGCGUAUGGGAAGAAGGUUUUCGGAUUGUAAACCAUUUUAGACAGGGAAGAAAAAAGACAGUACCUGUAGAAUAAGCUCCGGCUAACUACGUGCCAGCAGCCGCGGUAAUCUGAGGCGGGCUGGCAAGGC